UAGCAUAUGAAACUCUCUCUCUGUCAGUCUCUGUAUGUGAGGUGUGUAUAUGUGUGUGUGAAAGAAAGACAGAGAGAGACAGAGACAGAGACAGAGACAGAACACAGAGAGAAACAGCAUUCCUACUCCUGAUGAUGAUACUUACUUUGUCCUUCUCCAUGUAUUCAGAUCCUUAGGAUCCCAGGCAUCAGUUCCCUUGAGAGCUCAAAGCAGCCAUAACUUUCAGCCCUCAAAAUCUUCCUAGUAAGGUUCUCCAGGUAUGUUUUUUCUUAACUGUUCUGCAAACAUGGGGCAGUGAGUUCAAUUCCAGGGCAUCUCCAGUCUGCAAGUCUACGUGCCAGCUGCGGAGAGGUGGACCAGGAGGAAGCACAGCUCAGAAAAAGGAUAGAGCCAGCAGCACAGCUCCCGUGGCAAAGAAGUACCAGAUUGGCUAUGCUCUUGGCAAACCUUCCCCGAAAAGGGACUUCUGGGGCGGAGGGAGAGAACCUGGGGUAAGGAUAUAUUGGCAUUCUUGAUACUACACUGCCAUCCAGCGGAAUACCUUUGCUGUUCCUGUCUACACUUCCAAGUGCUUUUUCUCAGCAGAUGUGAAGAAUUUGCAAGUAUGUUGCCGAUGUAUCUGCUCUGAGGCUGCUGACUCUUGGGAAGAAAGAAGUUCUCCUGCCUGACAAAUAUGGCUGCCACUGGACAUUGAAGCCGGCACUGCCUAAGGAAUUCUGGUUAUUACUCAGCUGUACAGCAAGCUUCUGAUGCUGUCAAUGGUGAGGUCCCCACCUGUGAUCUGGACGUCACCUGGACUUGGAUCUGUUACUUCAGUUUUUAUAAGAGUCCCCCAAAUAUAUUUCACAUUCCUUCACCCCCAGACUUUUUGAGUGCACGCUGAGUUGUUGGCACAAACAGUUAAAGAAAGACCAGUUGGUGGCAGUGUUGUGCCAACAAUACUAAAG
ensembl:lncRNA